AUAGAUUCUCAGGCCUUUGGCCUUGGAUUGAGACUGAUGCUAUUGGCUUCCCUGGUUCUCAGGCCUUUGGACUCAGAAUGUACCAUGUUUCUGGCUUUCCUUGUUCUCCAGCUUGCAGGUGGCCUGGCCUGAGGUUUCUCAGCUUCUAUAACCACAUGAGUCAAUUCCUCUAAUAAACUGCCUCUGAUUUAUCUAUCUCUAUGAAUCCUAUUGGUUAUGUUUCUCUGAAAAAUACUGGCUAAUACAGUCUACAACUUGUGUGACAUUCCUUCCCUGACAAAUAAAGUACAGUCUAAUAAAAACUAUGCAUUCCCAGAACACCUGAAUCAGAAUAUACACUUUGACGUUGCCAGUUAUAAAGAUUGUCUAUAGAGUUGAAGAAGCACUGCUCAGGACAACUCUCCUCCUCUCUGAGGAACUCUGAGUGAUUUGUAGACAACACUGCUAUUCAUUUCUCUAGUGUGUGUGGGGGGGUCUAGCUCCCUGUUUUGAGGUAAACUUAGGUUCCUAAUGGCUUAGGAGGGGAAGGAGAGAUUCCAAUUCUUUAUACUUAUGCAUUUGGCCUUUGCACCACGGGAGGGAAUGCAGAUAAAUGCAGCUAUGGUAACAUGUUUGCUGAGUCCCUGAUUCUCCUUUCUGUUCAGUGCCUGCUCACUUCAACUUGGAAUAUCCACAUGGAUGGCAGCAUCUAUGGCUCACCUAUUUCCUGUGUACAUCCCUCUCUCAACUUAUCCAUCAUUCCAAUAUCUAUCAGGCACAUUCCACAGAUCGGGCCAUGUGUUGGGUGUUGAGGGACCCUAAGUGAAAGGACAUAGUUCUUGUGCUUGAGGACCUCACAGAUUAUUGAUGGACACAGACAGGCCAGUGUGUGAAACUCAGUCUUUGGCUUCUGAUCAGUCUACCAUGAUACUGACAACCUACCAGCUGGAGAGAAGUCUCUACAUGGGCUGUGCGAAAGAGAUUCAGAGGCGUGUACUGAAUUUCCCCAGUAAAUUGUCUAGUAUAAAGGAAGAUAAGCAUCCCUGCUGAAGAAGAGUGGAA
rnacentral:lncRNA from 1 species